AUUUUUAUUUGAGGCAGUAUUGUUUAUACUUGCGUGGUCAGGAAUGAUCUAUCUAUUACGCUGUCACAGAGGACAGAAACGAGGAUGCUGCUCUCAGUGGAGAAAAAUAGGAUAUUUAUGCUGCACUGUCAUUCUUGCAUUUUUAAUCAUUACAAAUGGCACAAUGUGCUUUUGUUAUAUAUACCUCAUUAUGGACAAUAAAGAUCGUGCUGGAUCUUUGGCUCUGAUGGCACUGGUCCACGUUUUGGUAGCAACAUGCUCCUUCAAACAUCCCAAAGUUUUACCUU